UACGUAGGGUGCGAGCGUUAAUCGGAAUUACUGGGCGUAAAGCGUGCGCAGGCGGUGAUGUAAGACAGAUGUGAAAUCCCCGGGCUCAACCUGGGAACUGCAUUUGUGACUGCAUCGCUGGAGUGCGGCAGAGGGGGAUGGAAUUCCGCGUGUAGCAGUGAAAUGCGUAGAUAUGCGGAGGAACACCGAUGGUGAAGGCAAUCCCCUGGGCCUGCACUGACGCUCAUGCACGAAAGCGUGGGGAGCAAACAGG
rnacentral:rRNA from 1 species